UACGUAGGGUGCGAGCGUUGUCCGGAAUUAUUGGGCGUAAAGAGCUUGUAGGCGGUUUGUCGCGUCUGCUGUGAAAUUUCGGGGCUCAACCCCGAACUUGCAGUGGGUACGGGCAGACUAGAGUGUGGUAGGGGAGACUGGAAUUCCUGGUGUAGCGGUGAAAUGCGCAGAUAUCAGGAGGAACACCGGUGGCGAAGGCGGGUCUCGUGGGCUGUAACUGACGCUGAGGAGCGAAAGCGUGGGUAGCGAACAGG
rnacentral:rRNA from 1 species